rnacentral:rRNA from 1 species
UACGAAGGGGGCUAGCGUUGCUCGGAAUUACUGGGCGUAAAGCGCACGUAGGCGGUCUUUUAAGUCGGGGGUGAAAUCCUGGAGCUCAACUCCAGAACUGCCUUCGAUACUGGAAGACUUGAGUCCGGGAGAGGUGAGUGGAACUGCGAGUGUAGAGGUGAAAUUCGUAGAUAUUCGCAAGAACACCAGUGGCGAAGGCGGCUCACUGGCCCGGUACUGACGCUGAGGUGCGAGAGCGUGGGGAGCAAACAGG